rnacentral:rRNA from 1 species
AUUGAACGCUGGCGGCAGGCCUAACACAUGCAAGUCGGACGGUAGCACAGAGGAGCUUGCUCCUCGGGUGACGAGUGGCGUACGGGUGAGUAAUGUCUGGGGAUCUGCCCGAUAGAGGGGGAUAACCACUGGAAACGGUGGCUAAUACCGCAUAACGUCGCAAGACCAAAGAGGGGGACCUUCGGGCCUCUCACUAUCGGAUGAACCCAGAUGGGAUUAGCUAGUAGGCCGGGUAACGGCCCACCUAGGCGACGGUCCCUAGCUGGCCUGAGGGGAUGACCAGCCACACUGGAACUGAGAAACGGUCCAGACUCCUACGGGAGGCAGCAGUGGGGAAUAUUGCACAAUGGGCGCAAGCCUGAUGCAGCCAUGCCGCGUGUAUGAAGAAGGCCUUCGGGUUGUAAAGUACUUUCAGCGGGGAGGAAGGCGAUGUGGUUAAUAACCGCAUUGAUUGACGUUACCCGCAGAAGAAGCACCGGCUAACUCCGUGCCAGCAGCCGCAGUAA